AAAUUGAAGAGUUUGAUCAUGGCUCAGAUUGAACGCUGGCGGCAGGCCUAACACAUGCAAGUCGAACGGUAACAGAAAGCAGCUUGCUGCUUUGCUGACGAGUGGCGGACGGGUGAGUAAUGUCUGGGAAACUGCCCGAUGGAGGGGGAUAACUACUGGAAACGGUAGCUAAUACCGCAUAACGUCGCGAGACCAAAGAGGGGGACCUUCGGGCCUCUUGCCAUCGGAUGUGCCCAGAUGGGAUUAGCUAGUAGGUGGGGUAAA
rnacentral:rRNA from 1 species